rnacentral:siRNA from 1 species
AUCCCGAGUGUCAAAUUAUA